UACGAAGGGGGCUAGCGUUGCUCGGAAUCACUGGGCGUAAAGCGCACGUAGGCGGAUCGUUAAGUCGGAGGUGAAAUCCUGGAGCUCAACUCCAGAACUGCCUUCGAUACUGGCGAUCUUGGAGUCCGGGAGAGGUGAGUGGAACUCCGAGUGUAGAGGUGAAAUUCGUAGAUAUAGGAAGGAACACCAGUGGCGAAGGCGACCACCUGGACUGAUACUGACACUGAGGUGCGAAAGCGUGGGGAGCAAACAGG
rnacentral:rRNA from 1 species